GGGCGCCAUCGACCCAAAAUGAUCAUAGCACGCAACUUUAAACCCUAAAGCCAACCAUGACAACAUACAAGCAGCCCGAAACAACCAAACAGAAUCAAACUUUAGCCACGAAACUAGCCUUAACAGGAUACCAGUAACUCAAACCAAAAUCAAAAGCAUGAAACUUUAAUCGACAAAACCAGCCUUAACAAAAUACCAAUAACUCAAACAGAAUCGCAGAACAUGAAACUUUAACAUAAAGUCAGCUAUACAAACCUUAAGCAUUUCACAAAAAAUGAGAGUAUUAAAUCGAAAAUCUACCAAAACAACUACCUACGGCUAUCAAAGCCAUCUACCAGCAAACAACCCAACAUACAAUCAUACUAAACA
rnacentral:lncRNA from 1 species